rnacentral:lncRNA from 1 species
GCAACAAGGUUUGCCGGAUGCCUCUGCUCUGGUUUGAAUUUUGAUUUCUUCGUCAUUCUUGCCUUGAAUUGUUUUGAGGUGAAUCUGAAGCUAGUAUUAUAAGAUCUGUGAAAUUUUCCUUCAAUCGAAUGGAAAGUUCAGUACAGGUUUUAAGAGUAAUUUGAAUCGUCAAUAGUUCUAUUCUUUAAUCUUCAACAGUUGAAAUGAAAUGAAGUAGGGCUAAUUUUGAUGGCCAUGUUCGUCGUCUUCUCUUUCCCUGUUCAAGAAGAAAUUCGAGGAACCAUUGUAGCUUUUGUGGAGUCGAUGACCAAAGCCAUGGAGUGAAACCAGAGUAGUUACAGGUUAUUUUCUGAUUAUUAAUUAAUUAGGAGUUUAGUUUUAAAUUUAUAUUAAAAAAAUUUAAUGAUGUAUAAUAAUUACAAUGUAAAUAAAAUAUAUUUUUAAUAUUAAAACAAUAUUUUAUAAUUUUUUAUUUUGUUUAAUUAAAGAAUUAAUAAUUGAAAAUGUUUUUGUACCAACAAAAGUUAAAAAGGCAGGUGAACAGUCAUGCGAACAAUAUAUUUUACAAUUUAGUGAAGUAAAUAAAGCAUGUAUAUAUAUAAUACAAAAGGUUGAAUUUGCUAAUAGGGAAUCAUCCAUCAACAUAAAUAUAACCAUAGUUCUCUUUCGGUCAAUAUUAAACAUGAAAAUUACUCAUCGUUUCAUCAACAAGAGACUUCACAAAAUACUUAAUAAAUUCAUACAUAUGUUCUGAUAGAAGUGACAUGAGAAAAUCUUUAUUCCCGGAAGGUCUCACAACUUUUUUUUAUAGAGAAACAUAUGUAGAUUCUCAUAAAUAAUAAAAAUUUAGUGAUUUAGAGUAAUACAAUGACAUAUAUUUAUUUAAAUAAAUUAUAUUAUUCUAAUAUUUUUUAAAUUUUGAAUAAUCUGUUUAAAAGAGUUCGACUCAUUUAAAGUAAAUAAAUUUACAUAAUUGUAUAGAUAAUAUAGAAACAAACUUAAAUUUUAAAGAUUAUAUUACUAAGUAUUCCUGGGUAGGUCGACAUGUUUCUUCUAACGAUGAAACUAUAAAACUUAUUCUUCAUGACAGUGGAUAUGAGAUUACAAUGCACCUCUUAAAUGAUUGACAACCUUUUCUUAGUGAUCGGUAUAAGUUGAAUACUGAUGGAUUUGCUCAGGUGAUCUAGAAGACGUUACUUUAUGUAGCUUGAUUAAAAACAAUUAUGGAAGAUGUGUAACUAGAUUUAUGUAUGGCAUAAUAUUUGGUGUUGUGAUAUCAUUUGAGAUUCAAGUUCACUCAUAAGAUAUGUAUUAAGAGAUUAAUUAUUGAAGUUGAUUCAUUUUAUCUCAUUAAACUCCUCCAUAGUUAUUUUAUCUAUACUAGUUUUAAUAUAGUUUUAUCGUUCAGAUUUAUUAUAUUAUUAACAGUAAUUAAGAUAUUUAGGUAAC